GAUUAAGCCAUGCAUGUGUAAGUGUAAAUUUUUAAGUUUGGAACUGCGAAUGGCUCAUUAUAUCAGUUAUAGUUUAUUUGGUGAAGUGUACUACUUGGAUAACCGUAGUAAUUCUAGGGCUAAUACAUGAGAAAGUCCUCUGGUGAGGUGUGUUUAUUAGAAUGAAAACCAUAUGCUUCGGCAUGAUAGUGAGUAAUAGUAACCUAUCGUAUCGCAUGCUUAAUGUAGCGAUGAGUCUUUCAAGUUUCUGCCCUAUCAGCUUGCGAUGGUAGUAUAUGGGCCUACCAUG
rnacentral:rRNA from 1 species